CACUAUGCUUAGCCCUAAACUAAAAUAGCUUACCACAACAAAGCUAUUCGCCAGAGUACUACUAGCAACAGCCUAAAACUCAAAGGACUUGGCGGUGCUUUACAUCCCUCUAGAGGAGCCUGUUCCAUAAUCGAUAAACCCCGAUAAACCCCACCAUCCCUUGCUAAUUCAGCCUAUAUACCGCCAUCUUCAGCAAACCCUAAACAAGGUACCGAAGUAAGCACAAAUAUCCAACAUAAAAACGUUAGGUCAAGGUGUAGCCCAUGGGAUGGAGAGAAAUGGGCUACAUUUUCUACCCUAAGAACAAGAACUUUAACCCGGACGAAAGUCUCCAUGAAACUGGAGACCAAAGGAGGAUUUAGCAGUAAAUUAAGAAUAGAGAGCUUAAUUGAAUCAGGCCAUGAAGCGCGC
rnacentral:rRNA from 1 species